AGUCACUGACAUUAGAUACCCGCGUAGUCCAGGGUGUAAACGCUGCAGACUUGGUGUUGGAGGCCCUUUGGGGGCAUUCAGUGCCGGAGAGAAGUUGUUAAGUCUUCCCUGGGGAGUACGUCCGCAAGGAUGAAACUUAAAGGAAUUGGCGGGGGAGCACCGCAACGGGAGGAGCGUGCGGUUUAAUUGGAUUCAACACCGUAAACUCACCAGGGAAGACUGUUACAUGAAGGCCGAGAUGAAGACUCUGCUAGAUUUUCAG
rnacentral:rRNA from 1 species